UACGUAGGGGGCAAGCGUUGUCCGGAUUUAUUGGGCGUAAAGAGCGUGUAGGCGGCCUUACAGGUCAGCUGUGAAAACUCGAGGCUCAACCUCGAGACGUCGGUGGAAACCGUUUGGCUAGAGUCCGGAAGAGGAGAGUGGAGUUCCCGGUGUAGCGGUGAAAUGCGCAGAUAUCGGGAAGAACACCCGUGGCGAAGGCGGCUCUCUGGGACGGUACUGACGCUGAGACGCGAAAGCGUGGGGAGCGAACAGG
rnacentral:rRNA from 1 species